GUGACUGCGUACCUUUUGUAUAAUGGGUCAGCGACUUAUAUUCUGUAGCAAGGUUAACCGAAUAGGGGAGCCGGAGGGAAACCGAGUCUUAAUUGGGCGUUAAGUUGCAGGGUAUAGACCCGAAACCCGGUGAUCUAGCCAUGGGCAGGUUGAAGGUUGGGUAACACUAACUGGAGGACCGAACCGACUAAUGUUGAAAAAUUAGCGGAUGACCUGUGGCUGGGGGUGAAAGGCCAAUCAAACCGGGAGAUAGCUGGUUCUCCCCGAAAGCUAUUUAGGUAGCGCCUCGUGAAUUCAUCUCCGGGGGUAGAGCACUGUUUCGGCUAGGGGGCCAUCCCGGCUUACCAACCCGAUGCAAACUGCGAAUACCGGAGAAUGUUAUCACGGGAGACACACGGCGGGUGCUAACGUCCGUCGUGAAGAGGGAAACAACCCAGACCGCCAGCUAAGGUCCCAAAGUCAUGGUUAAGUGGGAAACGAUGUGGGAAGGCCCAGACAGCCAGGAUGUUGGCUUAGAAGCAGCCAUCAUUUAAAGAAAGCGUAAUAGCUCACUGGUCGAGUCGGCCUGCGCGGAAGAUGUAACGGGGCUAAACCAUGCACCGAAGCUGCGGCAGCGAACGUAUCACUUAAAGCGAUUCAGCGGGUUACGAUUGACGGAGCGAAGCGACGUCAAAGCGUAUACAAAGUCGAGUCGGUUUAAGGAUACGUUCGUUGGGUAGGGGAGCGUUCUGUAAGCCUGUGAAGGUGUGUCGUGAGGCAUGCUGGAGGUAUCAGAAGUGCGAAUGCUGACAUAAGUAACGAUAAAGCGGGUGAAAAGCCCGCUCGCCGGAAGACCAAGGGUUCCUGUCCAACGUUAAUCGGGGCAGGGUGAGUCGACCCCUAAGGCGAGGCCGAAAGGCGUAGUCGAUGGGAAACGGGUUAAUAUUCCCGUACUUGGUGUUACUGCGAAGGGGGGACGGAGAAGGCUAUGUUGGCCGGGCGACGGUUGUCCCGGUUUAAGCGUGUAGGUGUGUGUUCCAGGUAAAUCCGGUUCACUUUAACACUGAGGCGUGAUGACGAGGCACUACGGUGCUGAAGCAACAAAUGCCCUGCUUCCAGGAAAAGCCUCUAAGCAUCAGGUAACAUCAAAUCGUACCCCAAACCGACACAGGUGGUCAGGUAGAGAAUACCAAGGCGCUUGAGAGAACUCGGGUGAAGGAACUAGGCAAAAUGGUGCCGUAACUUCGGGAGAAGGCACGCUGACACGUAGGUGAAGUGAUUUACUCAUGGAGCUGAAGUCAGUCGAAGAUACCAGCUGGCUGCAACUGUUUAUUAAAAACACAGCACUGUGCAAACACGAAAGUGGACGUAUACGGUGUGACGCCUGCCCGGUGCCGGAAGGUUAAUUGAUGGGGUCAGCGCAAGCGAAGCUCCUGAUCGAAGCCCCGGUAAACGGCGGCCGUAACUAUAACGGUCCUAAGGUAGCGAAAUUCCUUGUCGGGUAAGUUCCGACCUGCACGAAUGGCGUAAUGAUGGCCAGGCUGUCUCCACCCGAGACUCAGUGAAAUUGAACUCGCUGUGAAGAUGCAGUGUACCCGCGGCAAGACGGAAAGACCCCGUGAACCUUUACUAUAGCUUGACACUGAACAUUGAGCCUUGAUGUGUAGGAUAGGUGGGAGGCUUUGAAGCGUGGACGCCAGUCUGCGUGGAGCCGACCUUGAAAUACCACCCUUUAAUGUUUGAUGUUCUAACGUGGACCCGUAAUCCGGGUUGCGGACAGUGUCUGGUGGGUAGUUUGACUGGGGCGGUCUCCUCCUAAAGAGUAACGGAGGAGCACGAAGGUUGGCUAAUCCUGGUCGGACAUCAGGAGGUUAGUGCAAUGGCAUAAGCCAGCUUGACUGCGAGCGUGACGGCGCGAGCAGGUGCGAAAGCAGGUCAUAGUGAUCCGGUGGUUCUGAAUGGAAGGGCCAUCGCUCAACGGAUAAAAGGUACUCCGGGGAUAACAGGCUGAUACCGCCCAAGAGUUCAUAUCGACGGCGGUGUUUGGCACCUCGAUGUCGGCUCAUCACAUCCUGGGGCUGAAGUAGGUCCCAAGGGUAUGGCUGUUCGCCAUUUAAAGUGGUACGCGAGCUGGGUUUAGAACGUCGUGAGACAGUUCGGUCCCUAUCUGCCGUGGGCGCUGGAGAACUGAGGGGGGCUGCUCCUAGUACGAGAGGACCGGAGUGGACGCAUCACUGGUGUUCGGGUUGUCAUGCCAAUGGCACUGCCCGGUAGCUAAAUGCGGAAGAGAUAAGUGCUGAAAGCAUCUAAGCACGAAACUUGCCCCGAGAUGAGUUCUCCCUGAGACUUAGAGUCUCCUGAAGGAACGUUGAAGACGACGACGUUGAUAGGCCGGGUGUGUAAGCGCAGCGAUGCGUUGAGCUAACCGGUACUAAUGAACCGUGAGGCUUAACCUU
rnacentral:rRNA from 1 species